rnacentral:rRNA from 1 species
AAUGAACGCUGGCGGCGCGCCUAAUACAUGCAAGUCGAGCGAGAAGACGUAGCAAUACGUUUGUAAAGCGGCGAACGGGUGAGGAAUACAUGGGUAACCUACCCUAGAGUGGGGAAUAACUAGCCGAAGGUUAGCUAAUACCGCGUACGCUCCUUGGACUUCGGUUCAGGGAGGAAAGCGAUGCCGAGGGUAUCGCGCUCUUGGAUGGGCUCAUGUCCUAUCAGCNGUUGGUGAGGUAACGGCUCACCAAGGCUUCGACGGGUAGCUGGUCUGAGAGGACGAUCAGCCACACUGGGCACUGCGACACGGGCCAGACUCCUACGGGGAGGCAGCAGUAAGGAAUAUUGCGCAAUGGGCGAAAGCCUGACGCAGCGACGCCGCGUGGGGGAUGAAGGUCUUCGGAUU